CACGUACUGUGCGAACGUUAUUCGGAAUCACUGGGCUUAAAGGGUGCGUAGGCGGUUGAUCAAGUCAGAUGUGAAAUGCCUGAGCUCAACUGAGGCACUGCGUUUGAAACUGAUCGACUUGAGUAUUCCAGGGGUAUGCGGAACUGCCAGUGGAGCGGUGAAAUGCGUUGAUAUUGGCAGGAACACCAGUGGCGAAGGCGGCAUACUGGGGGAUAACUGACGCUGAGGCACGAAAGCCAGGGUAGCGAACGGG
rnacentral:rRNA from 1 species